ensembl:lncRNA
CCUGACCGUCUGAUAGCACAAGGGGGGAGGUGGGGUUUACGAGAGGGAACAAAGGGAGGGGUCACGGAGAGAAACAGAGGAGGGGAGGGGUUACGGGAGGGAAACAGAGGAGGGGAGGGGUUACGGGAGGGAAACAGAGGAGGGGAGGGGUUUGCGAGAGGGAAACAGAGGAGGGAGGGGUUACGAGAGGGAAACAGAGGACGGGAGGGGUUACGAGAGAGUAAACAGACGAGGGAGGGGUUACGAGAGGGGAACAGAAGAGGGGAGGAGUUACGAGAGGGGAACAGAAGAGGGGAGGAGUUACAAGAGGGGAACAGAGAGAGGGGAGGGGUUACGAGAGAGAAACAGAAGAGGGGAGGGUUACGAGAGAGAGAAACAGCGGAGGGGAGGGGUUACAAGAGAGAAACAGAAGAGGGGAGGGUUACGAGAGGGUUAAAACAGAAGAGGGGAGGGGUUACGAGGAGAAACAGAAGAGGGGAGGGGUUACGAGAGGGUAAAACAGAAGAGGGGAGGGGUUACGAGAGAGAGAAACAGAAGAGGGGAGGGGUUACGAGAGGGUUAAAACAGAAGAGGGAGAGGUUACGAGAGGGUAACAAGAAGGGGAGGGGUUACGAGAGGGUAAACAGAAGAGGGGAGGGGUUACGAGAGGGUAAACAGAAGAGGGGAGGGGUUACGAGAGAGAAAACAGAAGAGGGGAGGGGUUACGAGAGGGUAAAACAGAAGAGGGGAGGGGUUACGAGAGGGUAUAAAACAGAAGAGGGGAGGGGUUACGAGAGAGAAACAGAAGAGGGGAGGGGUUACCGAGAGUGGUUAAAACAGAAAGAGGAGGGGUUACGAGAGAGAGAACAGAAGAGGGGAGGGGUUACGAGAGGGUUUAAACAGAAGAGGGGAGGGGUUACGAGAGGGGUAAACAGAAGAGGGGAGGGGUUACGAGAGGGUAAAACAGAAGAGGGGGAGGGGUUACGAGAGGGUAAAACAGAAGAGGGAGGGGUUACGAGAGAGAACAAGAAGAGGGGAGGGGUUACGAGAGGGUAA